UGCCAGCCGCCGCGGUAAUACGGCGGGUGCAAACGUGGCUCGGAAUUACUGGGCGUAAAGCGCACGUAGGCGGACUGUUAAGUUAGAGGUGAAAUCCCGGGGCUCAACCCCGGAACUGCCUUUAAUACUGGCAGUCUAGAGUUCGAGAGAGGUGAGUGGAAUUCCGAGUGUAGAGGUGAAAUUCGUAGAUAUUGGGAAGAACACCAGUGGCGAAGGCGGCUAACUGGCUCGGUACUGACGCUGAGAUGCGAAAGCGUGGGGAGCAAACAGGAUUAGAUA
rnacentral:rRNA from 1 species